GGGGGAGCAAGCGUUGUUCGGAUUUACUGGGCGUAAAGGGCGCGUAGGCGGUCAGCACAAGUCAGUUGUGAAAUCUCCGGGCUUAACUCGGAAAGGUCAACUGAUACUGUGCGACUAGAGUGCAGAAGGGGCAACUGGAAUUCUCGGUGUAGCGGUGAAAUGCGUAGAUAUCGAGAGGAACACCUGCGGCGAAGGCGGGUUGCUGGGCUGACACUGACGCUGAGGCGCGAAAGCCAGGGGAGCGAACGGGAUUAGAUACCCCGGUAGUCCUGGCCUUAAACGAUGGAUGCUUGGUGUCUGGAGUUAUAUAGUCUCCGGGUGCCGCAGCUAACGCGUUAAGCAUCCCGCCUGGGGAGUACGGUCGCAAGACUG
rnacentral:rRNA from 1 species